AUGCUCACUUCAGCAGCACUUACACUAAAAUUGGGACAAUACGGACAAGAUGAGACGGCCCCUGCACAAAGAUGACGUGCAAAUCUGUGUAGAGUUCCUUAUUUUG
rnacentral:snRNA from 1 species